rnacentral:tRNA from 1 species
GUAGCUCAGUGACAAAGCACUUGCCUCACAAGCAUGAAGCCCUGGGGUUGAUUCCCAGC